rnacentral:rRNA from 1 species
GGGGACAAAACAUACCACCCUGAACACUCCCGAUCUCAUCUAAUCUCAGAAGCUAAGCAGAGUUGGGCCUAGUUAGUACUUGGAUGAGAGACAAACCAUUUUUAUAAGCAUUACCUUGUUCAUCUUUU